CAGUAGCCGCGGGAAAACGUAGGUGGCAAGCGUUGUCCGGAAUUAUUGGGCGUAAAGCGCGCGCAGGUGGUUUAAUAAGUCUGAUGUGAAAGCCCACGGCUCAACCGUGGAGGGUCAUUGGAAACUGUUAAACUUGAGUGCAGGAGAGAAAAGUGGAGUUCCUAGUGUAGCGGUGAAAUGCGUAGAGAUUAGGAGGAACACCAGUGGCGAAGGCGGCUUUUUGGCCUGUAACUGACACUGAGGCGCGAAAGCGUGGGGAGCAAACAGGAUUAGAUACCCCAGUAGUCCCUGUCUCUUAUAC
rnacentral:rRNA from 1 species